GAGGAGUGAGUAGGAGGUGAAGGAACAAGUCAUGCAACAACCACUUGCUUAGCUAAAAAUUAGAAAUAUGAAGCAUCACAAGAAUAUUACAUUAUAUGCUAUCGCAAUCAGAUUCUUUUCUUUUCUCAACAUUUUUCUCAAUUUGCUCGGUCCAAAAUUUUACAUCGAAUAUACAUGGAGACAAGUAACGCGCCAUCAAUUUGUACAAAAUAGUGACUUAUAUAAUAUAAACAUUUAUUUCAACUAAAGGACAAUCUUGUGGGGAGGGAGAACAUAAUCCUAUCAUCACACAUGAUCCUGAGGUGCCGUUUCCCCGCGUGCCAGGGACACGGCUAAGUAGGAGGGGUUCAUAUCCACCUUUUCAUCUUCAUCUCCCUCUUUCUCUCUCUCCUCUUAUCUCAUCUUCCUCUCCUUGGUGCUCCAGCACAUAGAGGGGCUUGAGUCCUCAAAACCCAUAUCCUCUUAUCGAUAAUUCAGUCUAUUUAUUAUUUUAUUAUUUUAGGGAACUAUUAUUUUAACGUGUUCAUGGAUUUUCUAUACAUCUGACCUACUCC
rnacentral:lncRNA from 1 species